CAAAAGAAAAAUGACGUGUUAGCUUUGUUGGUGCAAGAACAUGCACAUGAGUUCAGCAGCCAAGACCCCAGAGAUCCGCCUUCAGCCGCCACACAGCUCUCAGGACGCAGUAGAGUUGGCGGUCAGAUGCGGAGCCCUGGAGCCUAGGACAACAGCUGCGGGUACUCUGGCCGCCUGCAGCUACCUUGCAUCAUUCGGAAUAGGACGAAUGGUCUUUAUCAGAUUAAAGCCGAGAUUAGGGGGUCUGUGGGCCCCCUCUUUGCACUUCCUCAAGAACUUCCAUGCAUAAAGUUAAAGGACAACAUCUACUGGUUGGUUUUUCUCUUCUUCUCUCAAAGAUGCCUGGAAACAUCUUGGGCAACUGGGUGAGUAGUUUUAAAGCUCUCCUUCUGGUGCUAAAGAGAGAAACUAACAAUGUUGGUGCCACUCCCCCUCCUUCAGCAAGGACAACCCAGGAGACACAACUCAGGAGACAGGAAUUUACUAGUUUUUGUUUUAGGAAGGAGGUCUUAUGGAGGCCAAAUCUCAGUAAGUGCUGUUCAGAUUAUUCUAAAGAAACUUGUCAUUCUUCUUAGCAUGAUCACUCUCUUGGAGCAGGAAUUAGGAAAAGACACAGGCAAUUCCUAGUUCUGGAAAAUCCAAAGACCUGGAUGACCUUCCUGGCUCUGAGAUUUGCUGAGAGAAGUUGGGCAAUUCACUUGCCCCCUUUGGACAUGUAUAGUCAAAGAGACUAUUGGCACUGCAGGAUGCCUUUCCAACCUGGGUGCUUGUGGAUUCUUAUAAAUGCGUCUUGAAAAUUCAAGAGGCCAGGCUGGACAACGCCCUGUUACGUCCCUUUUCCUGAGCUCUGGAGGAAUAGAGGACCACAGACUGGGGCUAGAAAAUGAACUGGGAGGGAGUUGUGGUCUUCUCAAACACAGAUUGCACUUCUUAUGUGCCAGGAGCUUUACAUAUACUAACUUCUUAUAUACACUAUAUCCAUAUAGUUACAUAUACUAUAUGGAUAUGUAGUAUAUACAUAUAAUUAUAUGCAUAUGUAGUAUAUACAUAUAAU
rnacentral:lncRNA from 1 species